rnacentral:sRNA from 1 species
UUUGUGUUUUCUCUUCUUUCUUACAUCACGUCAUGUUGGCUUGGAAAAUUCUUUUUCCUUUGUUCAUAGUUGCAAUAUUGGUGACUUUUCACCAAGUGGAAGGAGAGUUAAGUGAUGUCUUAUUUCAAUCCAGAGGUAGAUUCAAAAAUACACGUACCCUCACAGGCUUUUUUGGGUGUUAUAGAAAUCAUUGGACGGACCCUUGCUGUAGGAAUGAGUGGAUAGUUUGCAAUUUUUAGAUUAGGAUUAUGAAAAUGGCGACCUAGCAGACUGGGUGAGUCUUUCGUAUUGGAUGCAAAAACAACAAAGCGGAAUAGCACCAAGAAGUUUAACUGAACUUUUGAUUCUAUGAAACACAACUUACUGUUUUGAUUUUUUGGAAUGUCUUCUGACAAAUAUUAUCUUGUCUUUGAUCAAUAAAUAUAUUUUUAACGC